rnacentral:rRNA from 1 species
UACGUAGGGUGCGAGCGUUGUCCGGAAUUAUUGGGCGUAAAGGGCUCGUAGGCGGUUUGUCGCGUCGGGAGUGAAAACCCAGGGCUUAACCCUGGGCUGGCUUCCGAUACGGGCAGACUAGAGGUAUGCAGGGGAGAACGGAAUUCCUGGUGUAGCGGUGAAAUGCGCAGAUAUCAGGAAGAACACCCGUGGCGAAAGCGGCUCUCUGGAACGGUACUGACGCUGAGACGCGAAAGCGUGGGGAGCGAACAGG